CGAGCGCAGCCGUCCCUCCCACGGAGCCAAGCUCGCGCACCACCGCCCCUUCCACCGCGCCGAGCUCGCACUCCAUCGUAGCUGGCGGCCCAACCCCGCGUCGUCCGUGACCCCUCCACUACACUCCUCUGCUCCAGGAACAUGCCAGUUCGUGUGGAGCAUAACAGUCCGUCAGUUCGUCGGUGGGAUUUGCAGGAUCCGCAGGUCAGUCCCACAAAUUACUCUUAAAUCGUGUGUAAUUUUGUAAUUAGUUCAUGUGUAUGUGUCAGUUCAUGUCUGUUCUUGUCAGGUCGUGUUCAUAAAUUGUUUUUUUGGUUAAUUUGUUGUUAUGUACAGUACGGAUGCAUAUUGUUGUGUAGUACUACAUGUGUGCAUUGAUUUGUUCGAAUCUCACUUUGAUUCCUCCUGGUGGUUCAACAUGUAGAGCGUCAGCAGCGCUCGCUCCCCAAUGGUUGCCCGCGCAAGGAGGAUACAGGCAUGCGACAGUGGUGGAGGACUCAGCAGCGUUCCAUGGCCUUCGUCCUCCUCGUCGCAUCUUUUCUUAUAAACAGCUAGAAGAAAACGAGGCACAAGCUUCAUGCUCUCCAUCUCCUGGUGAAGGGGAGUUAAGCUCUACGGCCACUUGGAUGUGGAUGCUCACGCUCCUCCACUGGGCGAGCUCCCAGGGCACCACGGAGCUUGAGAUUGUCAUCUCUACCCUCGGCCGUGAGGGCCAAGAGGUUGCCUGCACCCUGCUAAAAUGAAAUUCCACUUCCGACCAGCAGCUCGCCUGAUGCCCAUAUGUAGACCGUCAUGCUUUUUAUGAUUUCCUGUAUGCCUGUACAUCAAAAAGUCUCAACAAUUCUGUUUCUUGUCUACAUGAUUUUGUGCUUGCUUAUCACAAGUUCACGUUACGUGCUCAAUGUAGUAGCUAGCUGAAGAAAAGGUAUUGUUCUGUAGCUUUGGUCUUACCAUUGUGGUGCUUGUGUUAUUGCGUGGGAAAAUGAAAGAAAGGAUUAUUUUAGCAAAUCAAUGAAUGAUAAAAGAGUUUGCCGUUUUCCCGCCCAAUUUAGAGCUCCAGAAAAGUUCAGAG
rnacentral:lncRNA from 1 species